rnacentral:rRNA from 1 species
CAAAAACAUAGUCACCUGUUGUUACGGGUGGUGUCUUCUGCUCAAUGAAUUAUUAAAUAGCCGCAGUACUCUGACUGUGCAAAGGUAGCGUAAUCAAUUGACUUCUAAUUAAAGUCCAGUAUGAAUGAAAGAAUGGGGGCUUUCUGUAUCAAUAGUAAUUUAUGAAUUUACUAAGCAAGUGAAAAUACUUGCAGAUAACUAAUAGACGAGAAGACCCUAGAAAUUUUUAUAUUUUUUUGUUGGGGCAACAUAGUAACAUUAAAACUUACUUUAUGUGUAUGACAUAUUAUUUGCAAAAUUAAAUUACUCUAGGGAUAACAGCAUAAUCUAAAAAUGUUUGUGACCUCGAUGUUGGAUUAGGAAGCUGAUGUCUAGAAGACUACCAGUAGUGCUCUGUUCGAG